rnacentral:tRNA from 1 species
AUUUCUUUAGUAUUAAUUAGUACAAUUGACUUCCAAUCAAUCAGCUUCGGUAUAAUCCGAAAAGAAAUA